rnacentral:RNase_P_RNA from 1 species
UCAGAUAGUUGGAUGACUGCAGUUUUAUAAUUGAGGAAAGUCCGGGCUCCACAGAGAAACAGUGCCGGGUAAUACCCGGCGAGGGCAACCUUAGGGAAAGUGCAACAGAAAGUAUACCGCCUUGAUAGGUAAGGGUGAAAUGGUGCAGUAAGAGNGCACCGCUUUAGCGGUAACGUUAAAGGCAAGGCAAACCCCACUGGGAGCAAGACCAAAUAGGAGUAAGUUGUAUAUUUACAAAAGUUUUUCUCUGAACUUUACUCGGGUAGGUCGCUUGAGGCACUUGGUAACAUGUGCUCUAGAUGAAUAGUCAUCACCUUAAUUGGCACAGAACCCGGCUUAUAGACUAUCUGACACA